ensembl:lncRNA
AAAAUAUCAAAAUAAAGUCCUGGUUUCAGAAUAUCUACUCCCACUGACCUCACUUCCCAUUUCACCAACCACGCCCACCGCCACGCCCUCGGGUCACGUGCCUCCCUGACCCAUCCCGGGCUGUGGAGAUGCUCGGGUCCCGCCCGUGUGUGACUCGCCAGCGUCGCCCGGGGGAUCACAGGCGUCGCCCAGGGGUUCGCAGGGGGGUCAGAGGUCACCCCCCCGGGCUCCGCCCUGGGCACUUAGAAAACCCAACACUCUAUCCUCGCCCGGCCGUGCUAGGGAAACAGAAAGUGAUGUCAUGGGCACCGUGCCGUCAGGAUGGAUGCACGGGGUCGGGGGUCCUGGUGCGGCCAGGGAUUCUGGGAAUCGGCCCCGACUCCCGACCCCGUACCCAGGCCCGUAGGGCGACUGCCCUGCCUCCGUUGAUCCCGCGGAAUCGCGGUCAUUCCUCUGCCUCGGGUUCCGCACCCCGCUGCGGCCACGCCCGGGUCCGCAGUAAACGGCGGGGAGAGGGCUACAGCAGGGGAGUGGCCGUGUGUUUUCGUUUUAGGCCCAGCCCCGCGACCCCCAGUCCCACCCGCGACCCCGGGCCCCGCCCCGCGACUCCCGACCCCUGCGCGUGACCCCGGCCCCGCCCUCUCACCUGCGCCGAGCGCCAGGACCCCGAGUAGCGCCAAGGUUAUCGCCGCUGUGAUUCCCGCCGCGCGCGCCAUGUCUGAGUGAGUGACGGGCCGGUGGAGGGCGGCGCCCCGCCCGAGGAGGCUACGCCCACCCGAGGAAUCCCCGCCGGGGGCUGGAGUGAUGGGCCGGCGGGGCAGGGCAAUAUAACGGGGAGGCCACACCCACCUUGCAGAGGCCACGCCCCCAAGGCUGGUCCACCGCACUCAUACCUCCCCACACACACCCCGCCUCAGACUACUCGUCACUCACGGUCAUCCCCCUGCCUCCGCUCCGGCCGGUAUUCGCUCCCGCCCUCCAGGUCUCCAGUGAGGCCCCGCCCACGGCUCCGCCCCCGCGUCGCGUCACCGCCGCAGACACUGCCGCCGCAGGCCCCGCCCCCCGCGCUGCAGCGGCCGAGCCGCAGUCCCGGGUCCGCUCUGUGCCGCGCCGGGGCCUGGGGCCGGGGCGGGGUCGGAGGUCGCCCUGAGGUCACCGGGCGACCCCGCGGCCUCCGGAUCCUCACUUCCGGUCCCGGCGCUCGGCUCCACACUCACGGUCAUCCCCCUGCCUCAGCUUUUCCCUGUUUUUCGCUUAUUUUCCGUUCCUUCUCCGCCCCCCCGGGGUCGCGGCGGGGUCGGGGGUCGCCCCGGGGUCGGUGGGCGGGGCCAUGCAGCCGCUGGUGUCGCCCGUGACGAAGGCGCUGCUGGUCGCGCUGUUCGUCUUCGCCAUCCUCCUCAUCCUGUACGUCAUCCUGUGGUACAUCUGCCGCGACGCGGACUGCGACCACGGCCUGUGACCCCGGCCGACCCCUAACCCCGGCCUGUGACCCCCGGGAGACCCCCGAUCCCUGACCCCCGACCUCGGAGGACACAGGCGGCCACAUCCACUGCGGUUGUGAGUGAUGGGUGGGAGAGGCUGACACUGUAAACCCGGUCCCCUCACCCUCCACCCGGGCCCUGUGGCCAUCGUGACCUGGGCAACCCCUGACUGAGCUGAGCCCCGCAGGCUGGGCAUGCGGGUCAUCGUGGCUGGGAAGGAAGUGUGCAGAGGCCGUGAAGUCAUCGCCAGCAUCUGGGCAGAGUCUGGGCCAGACAGUGCGCACUUCCUGUUCUUGGACCUGGCGUCUCUGUCCUCCAUGUGCAGCUACGUCAAGAAAGAACCUGCAAGAGGGUGCCUGGGCCUCACCGUACCCAGCGGCGUCACGGGAGCUGGAAGAGGUUGGAGGUCUCCACCUGUGGAAUGAGGUGGAGGCAGAAACAGAGCCGGGAUGGGGGGAGGGGCAGGGGGCGGGGCCAAGGAAUAAAGGCUUCGUCAUCAUCUGCCUGCCUCAGAUCCUCUUGUUCUUCACUCGGGGUCAUCCCCCUGCCUCACAUUUUACUACGGUUCAUCCCCCUGCCUCAGACCCUCCCUCACCGUGACCCAAAGAGGGAGGUGGGGCCGGGACAUCACCCCAAGUAGACAUGGGCAUCGUCUGUCACUCACCCCACACAGGAGGGGGCGGAACUCGACCGGUGAAGGAUGCCCGACUUAACCCCAUCCCGAGAGAGACUCAGAUGCCCGGGUCACCCGGCCGCGUUCAUUGUCCCCCGAGCCUCGCUGUGACAUCACUUUCUGCCCGUGUGAUGGGACUUCAUGCCUGAGAUUCACUGAUGUUUUGGUUUUAACAUCACUACCUGUUUAACACGAUGUCACUUCCUGUUCAAACUAAAAGAUUUUCACCCAUGAUGUCACUUCUUG